AUUUUUUUCUAGACAGAAACCACAAGAACCAAACUAAAUCGAAGAGUAUCAAUAUUUUAAAUAACCAAAAUCAUUGGAAAAACAUGAAAUUGAAAUAUCACCACAAAAUAGUACUAAGUCAAUGUUUUUCAAUCUUUGUUUAAACACGGCACACAACUCAGUUAUGAACAACUUUUUCUUCAACGAACGCUUUACACAUGCACGUCUAAUGAAUGGUAGCGGCACACCGGUUGAAAAAUGUAGAUGAAUCGUUUUAUUACAGAUCACUAGAAAUUACUGUUUACAGAGCAAGUACGCGUGCACGCUUCACUCAUGGUCUUGUCUAAACUUUAGAGACUAUUAUAUUAUACUGUGCGUAUAACAUAAUUGUGUCGUCAAUAUUUAAUUAGGUACUAUACAUUAUUAUAUCAUAGUAGUCAUAGUACCCCAUAGAAAAUUAUUGCGCACAGUAAAAUUGAAUUAAAAAUGUAUGUAUAAUAUUAUGUUGCCGCUCAAGAACCUAAAUCUAACUAACACAAUAUAACAAGUAAAGGACAGAAUUUAUUAAUGAAGUAUUUAAAUCACUGAACACAAACGUAAAACGACGAAAAUAAUACAAUAAAUUAUAUAAACUCCCAAACAUAUACAAUUUAAAUUAAAUAGUAAAAUACACAAUAAUUGUAUACUAGAGAAAUAUAUUAUAGUCCAAUACUAUAUCGUCUAUUGUAAUAUACUAAUAUCAUAUAG